UCUGGACCGGUCUAAAGCAUGUACCGGUCUAGCCGCAACAUAACCACCGCAGCAUGACAGCUUGCGUGUGGUGGUAGUAGUAGUGUGAUAGGCAAUGAGCGAGAAGGUAAAUAAAAACCAUAUGAUGAUGAUGGGAAUGACGAUGAUUAUGACGGUAGGCAGAUAUUUCGCCAUUGCAGUAAAUAGAUAAGGCAAAUUAGUUGAGUUUUGCAAAGGCGCGUUAUUUUAUUGAAAUUGUAGUGAAUUCGGGGCGAGAACACUUCCAAAAAUCGGUUGUAAUUAUUAGCAAUACGCUGUGGCCAAUCCGAUCCGUGACAGAUACCUGGGAAUCACCGGUAAUAGGAAUAGGAAAGGUGUCCACAUUCCGGCGACAUUCGCUAUUCACACUCAAUCAAGUUAGGGUAACUGCACCCAUUAUCAUCCCAAGAUAGAAUUGGAAACCACUUCUUGUGAGUAUUUGUACUAGAAUAGAUUAAGAAUGUUAAUUAAAUGAUUAAAUAAAUUGCAGUUUUAAGCGUUGCUACAAAAUCUGAGCCGCUCUAAAAAUU